rnacentral:tRNA from 1 species
GGCCCGUAGUCUAGCGGUUAUGAUGCCCGCCUUACAAGCGUGGGGGCUUGGGACAAGGUUCGAAUCCCGGCGGGCCCACCAC